GUUACUUUUCUGAAGCCUCCAUCGCAGCUGGUCGUAGCUGUAGAAGCCUCCUCUGAGCCAUUCUGCUUACGUUUUAUGACACGGCUUACUUGAUGCGGAGUGCUGACGUGGAGGAGACUAGGGUGCCUUGGUGGUGGGAUCCUCUGAGUGUACACACCUGCCUUGUUUAAUUUAUUAGUG